GAUGAACGCUGGCGGCGUGCCUAACACAUGCAAGUCGAACGGGAGGUGGAGACGGAAACCUUCGGACGGACGACUUUACUUCGAGUGGCGAAGGGGUGAGUAACGCGUAGGUAACCUGCCUCGUACAGGUGGGUAAAAUUUCGCAACGACUGUUAAUACCGCAUAAGAGCACAGCACAGCAUGUUGCGGGGGUAAAAACUCAGGUGGGAUAUGAUGGACUCGCUUUCGAUUAGCCAGUUGGCGGGGUAACGGGCCACCAAGGCGACGAUCGAGAGCCUAGAUGAGAGGAAGGCCCCCGACACUGGGACUAAGACACGGAGCAGACUCCUACGGGAGGCAGCAGUGGGGAAUCUUGCCCAACCGGGGAAACUCUGAUGCAGCGACGCUGGGUAAGUGAAGAUGUUUUUCGGUAUGUAAAGCUCUAUCAGCAGGGGAGAUAAUGACGGUACCUGAGUAAGAAGCCCCGGCUAACUACGUG
rnacentral:rRNA from 1 species